rnacentral:rRNA from 1 species
GUCGAGCGGACAGAUGGGAGCUUGCUCCCUGAUGUUAGCGGCGGACGGGUGAGUAACACGUGGGUAACCUGCCUGUAAGACUGGGAUAACUCCGGGAAACCGGGGCUAAUACCGGAUGGUUGUUUGAACCGCAUGGUUCAAACAUAAAAGGUGGCUUCGGCUACCACUUACAGAUGGACCCGCGGCGCAUUAGCUAGUUGGUGAGGUAACGGCUCACCAAGGCAACGAUGCGUAGCCGACCUGAGAGGGUGAUCGGCCACACUGGGACUGAGACACGGCCCAGACUCCUACGGGAGGCAGCAGUAGGGAAUCUUCCGCAAUGGACGAAAGUCUGACGGAGCAACGCCGCGUGAGUGAUGAAGGUUUUCGGAUCGUAAAGCUCUGUUGUUAGGGAAGAACAAGUACCGUUCGAAUAGGGCGGUACCUUGACGGUACCUAACCAGAAAGCCACGGCUAACUACGUGCCAGCAGCCGCGGUAAUACGUAGGUGGCAAGCGUUGUCCGGAAUUAUUGGGCGUAAAGGGCUCGCAGGCGGUUUCUUAAGUCUGAUGUGAAAGCCCCCGGCUCAACCGGGGAGGGUCAUUGGAAACUGGGGAACUUGAGUGCAGAAGAGGAGAGUGGAAUUCCACGUGUAGCGGUGAAAUGCGUAGAGAUGUGGAGGAACACCAGUGGCGAAGGCGACUCUCUGGUCUGUAACUGACGCUGAGGAGCGAAAGCGUGGGGAGCGAACAGGAUUAGAUACCCUGGUAGUCCACGCCGUAAACGAUGAGUGCUAAGUGUUAGGGGGUUUCCGCCCCUUAUUGCUGCAGCUAACGCAUUAAGCACUCCGCCUGGGGAGUACGGUCGCAAGACUGAAACUCACAUGAAUUGA